rnacentral:lncRNA from 1 species
UGGGAUAUGUGAUCAGUUGCCCCACUAUCCACUAUCCAAUAUAGAGUGGAGUGAGAUGCACGUACUGUGUUAUAACAUGUAGGGGUAACAAUACAUGUGGCAUUAGCAAAAGGUGGUGUAUUACCAUUCUCUUUGCGAAGCAGCGCCAUGAGUUAAGUGUACUCCUCUGUGGUGAAUGCGGGCUUCUCAUUAGGAGUGGUAGUCGG